UUGGGACACAUUCUCCAGCCUCUUCUGUUUGCAGGUGCCUGAGGACACCUUCAAACCUUCUCUGCUCCGUUGUAGAACUUUUUCCAGCAAGGGGGAGAGGAAGGACAAAAGGCUAUGCCUUGGGCUCCAAAGUUUAGGAGAGGAGCCAUGGAGAUGGACAGAGAGAGGUCCCAUUGUCUCUGGACACUGCUGGCCAAGGGCCUCCACCUCAGGAGCUGCUGCCUCUCAUCCACUUCCGGGGCGAGGGUAAUGGAAGCUCCCUACCGCCAAGCACCACGACCCUCCCCUGCCUUCUCCAGGCCUAAGGGUCAAGCUGCCAGGCCACCAGGCAGUGCCAGGGCAAUGACAUCUGCCCCUGCUCAAGUCCUCUGCCCUUGGGAGGUCCCACGACAGGCCUUGGCUCCAACCUUCAGCACCCAAGACCCCAGGAUGGCCCAUACUCUCAGGGGCCCCUGCCCUGGCCCUGGCCCACUUUCCUGGUCAUGUUCUCUUAGGAGUGGCUUCUAGCUAUAAAAGCCCAGGUCCUGGCACAGGCUAGGUGCCUUCUGACUGUUGGUUGAUGCAGGAAUAGACAUGAUCAUGUGACUGCUGCCCUCCCUCCAACCCCCAUCCAGCAGGGAGAGGCCCACUCUGGCCUCUGGAAGCCGGAGAAGAGGCUCACCUGCCCAAAGGCCUUCUGUCCAAAGUUCAAGGGAGCCCCACCCCUCCCAGAUGCUCAGCUCACCCCACCCCCAACAGGCAGGGCUACAGUGUGGUGGGCACUGCCACACCCGGACCUGCCACAACCUCUUGGAGUCAGUGACAAGAACCAAACGCACCCCAGCCUCCACCCCUCCCCUUUCCUGCUUUUAUUAUUUUCUUUUCCAUAAAGAUUAGUCUGUGUUGCUCCUCUAUCAAGGCCUGGAGGAUAAACAUGUGGUCCGGAGGCAGAGAAACCCCAGGCCUGAAGGCCCCACUGCCCCCACCCCAGCAGCAUAAACCCAGGGCUUUUAAGCAAGG
rnacentral:lncRNA from 1 species